rnacentral:rRNA from 1 species
UCGGGAAUUUUGGGCAAUGGGCGAAAGCCUGACCCAGCAACGCCGCGUGAAGGAUGAAGUAUUUCGGUAUGUAAACUUCGUAAGAAUAGGAAGAAUAAAUGACGGUACUAUUUGUAAGGUCCGGCUAACUACGUGCCAGCAGCCGCGGUAAUACGUAGGGUGCAAGCGUUAAUCGGAAUUACUGGGCGUAAAGCGUGCGCAGGCGGUUAUGCAAGACAGAUGUGAAAUCCCCGGGCUCAACCUGGGAACUGCAUUUGUGACUGUAUAGCUAGAGUACGGUAGAGGGGGAUGGAAUUCCGCGUGUAGCAGUGAAAUGCGUAGAUAUGCGGAGGAACACCGAUGGCGAAGGCGGCUAACUGGUCCGGUACUGACGCUGAGGUGCGAAAGCGUGGGGAGCAAACAGGAUUAGAUACCCUAGUAGUCCCUGAGCGGGCUGGCAAGGCGCAU